UUCAGCCACUGCUCUUCUCGCCCCGUUCGCGGACCUGUGGAGCAUCCCGAGCAAUAGGAGAGUCCUCCAAGGGAAGUUCCGGAAGGAGAAUGAGGGCCAAUUGGGACAACGGAGGCACAAGAGACUGCCUAAAGGCAGGGCUAUAGGAGAGAACUCUUGAGAGAGAGGAACUGCCCCUCCCCUAAACAGGCCAAGCAUUGAACUCAUUAACCCACCGAUAGAAAGAGGGAUGAACCGACCAGAUUCUGCAAGGGUAGCUGUUUACCUUUCGACUCUGGAAGCCCCUUACUGGAAGAUAAAAGAUCUUGAAAGUUGAGAUCACCUUGAGCACAGGAAAAUGCGCACAGGCUGGUCCCAAACUCAGGAUUUACAGAGUGAAUCCAGAUUUAAUGGAUUUACAGGUAGCCUUGGCUCACCUGGAACUCACUCUGUAGACUGUCUCUGAACUCAUGGAGAUCUUCCUGCCUCUGCUGGGAUUAAAGGCCUGUGCCACCAAGGCCAGCAAGACCCUAUGUGAAAAACAAAGGAAACAGAAGCUGGAGACAUGAUUCAGUAGUUAAGAUGAUUUUUCAGAAGAUCUGAGUUCAUUUAGUUCCCGGUACCCACAUCAGGUAGCUCACAACCAUCUGACAUCCACUUCUAUCCUCAACAGGAACCCACACAUAUGCACAUAUAUACACAAAUAAAAAUAAACCUUAGUGGGGUGGCAGUUGUUCACCCCUUUAAUCCCAGCACUUGAUGCAGAGGCAGGUGGAUCUCUGAGUUCUAGGCCAGCCUGGUCUACAGAGUGAGUUCCAGGACAAGCAAGGCAACACAGAGAAAUCUUAUCAUGAAAACAACAACAACAUAAAAGUCUUAAACACAAUUUGGGGUUGAAUG